AUGUUAAUUGUGCUAGUCAGGUUUAUCUACCACAUGCUACAAUCACACUUUCAUUUUGCUAUAGAGAAAACUCCUGUGGAGACCCACACUGCAGCAGCUAUAGGACAGGAUGCUCCAACUGAGAAUUUAGAAUCCCUAUCAGCUCACAAGGUAUAUUAUUUUCAUUGAUGAAUUGAUAGAAGCUACAACUGGACCUGUAAUCCCACAUGCUACAAUUCUGGGCAAGAGAGAGAACAGUCAUGUGGUUUGAGAGUAUUGAUAUUUAGGUGUUCUGUUCCCAUCUUGUUUUUAAUAAUUCUGUGUUUAUAGAAACAUUCUUAUUAUUCAUCUGGGUUUUGACACUAUAGCUAGCUACAGUAUCUUUAUCAAAAAACAAGGUAUUAAUUAAUGACAUCUAGUCACUAACUCUAUAGGAUGCAUCUUUCUUCCCAUGUUUUAAUUUCUGUAUUAGAAAACUUAUUUUGUUACUUGUUUCAGUAAAUUUUGCAGUGUCUUAUUUAGUCUGAUUUUUUAAUUCUUGGUUUAUAAUUCUUCACCUCUUAGGAGUUUUAAUAAUUUUUCUGUUUUUGCCUCAGCAUUUUGCUAUCUGCAUUUUCUUGACAUCCCUCUUAACAUAGAUAUUCAUGUCAGUAUGUCAAGACCAUCUUUUUCCAAAUUCAUCCCCCUUCCCAAAGAAUACCAAGUGUCCUCUCCAUUUUUGUUCCUUAACUCUCUAGACCAAUUGAUUCUACCAAAAUUUUACUGAGUUUUAUUCAGAAGAAUUCUCCUAAUGAAAUCCAUAACUUGUUUUAAAAUCACAGAAUUACAGAAUGGUUUGCCAUUCUAUGUCUUGGGUAGUGAUACUUUCAAUUAGACCAGGUUACCCAAAAUCCCAUCCAACCUGGCCUACAACACUUCCAGGGAUAGGGCAUCCACAAUUUCUCUGGGCAACCUGUUCCAGUAGCUCACCACCCUCAUAGUGUAGAAUUUCUUCCUUAUAUCAAAUUUAAGCCUAUCCUCUUUUAAUUUAAAAACAUUACCCCUUGUCCUGUCACCGUACGCCCUGAAGAAGAGCUCCCCUCCCUCAUCUUAACUGUAGGCCCUCUUUCAAUACUAGAAGGCCACUGUAAGGUCACCCCAAGCCUUCUCAUAUUUAUGUUAAACAACCUCAACCCCUCAGCCUGUGUUC
rnacentral:lncRNA from 1 species